rnacentral:tRNA from 1 species
GCCAAGGUGGCGGAAUUGGCAGACGCGCUAGGUUGAGGGCCUAGUCGAGGUAAAACUCGGUAAGGGUUCGAAUCCCUUCCUUGGCA